rnacentral:rRNA from 1 species
AUUGAACGCUGGCGGCAGGCCUAACACAUGCAAGUCGAACGGUAGCACAGAGAGCUUGCUCUCGGGUGACGAGUGGCGGACGGGUGAGUAAUGUCUGGGAAACUGCCCGAUGGAGGGGGAUAACUACUGGAAACGGUAGCUAAUACCGCAUAACGUCGCAAGACCAAAGUGGGGGACCUUCGGGCCUCACACCAUCGGAUGUGCCCAGAUGGGAUUAGCUAGUAGGUGGGGUAAUGGCUCACCUAGGCGACGAGCCCUAGUUGGUCUGAGAGGAUGACCAGCCACACUGGAACUGAGACACGGUCCAGACUCCUACGGGAGGCAGCAGUGGGGAAUAUUGCACAAUGGGCGUAAGCCUGAUGCAGCCAUGCCGCGUGUAUGAAGAAGGCCUUCGGGUUGUAAAGUACUUUCAGCGGGGAGGAAGGCGGUGAAGUUAAUAACUUCACCGAUUGACGUUACCCGCAGAAGAAGCACCGGCUAACUCCGUGCCAGCCGCCGCAGUAA